UCGAUCCGAAAUAAUGACCAGGUAUAUUUUUAAGAUCCUUACCCGACUCUAGACUCGAUGAAAUCACGCCAAAUUAUCCCUAAUAUUUUUGGGGCCAAGCC